rnacentral:rRNA from 1 species
UACGUAGGUGGCAAGCGUUGUCCGGAUUUACUGGGCGUAAAGGAUGCGUAGGCGGACAUUUAAGUCAGAUGUGAAAUACCCGAGCUUAACUUGGGUGCUGCAUUUGAAACUGGGUGUCUAGAGUGCAGGAGAGGUAAGUGAAUUCCUAGUGUAGCGGUGAAAUGCGUAGAGAUUAGGAAGAACACCAGUGGCGAAGGCGACUUACUGGACUGUAACUGACGCUGAGGCAUGAAAGCGUGGGGAGCAAACAGG